rnacentral:rRNA from 1 species
UAGGGAAUCUUCCACAAUGGACGCAAGUCUGAUGGAGCAACGCCGCGUGAGUGAAGAAGGUUUUCGGAUCGUAAAGCUCUGUUGUUGGUGAAGAAGGAUAGAGGCAGUAACUGGUCUUUAUUUGACGGUAAUCAACCAGAAAGUCACGGCUAACUACGUGCCAGCAGCCGCGGUAAUACGUAGGUGGCAAGCGUUGUCCGGAUUUAUUGGGCGUAAAGCGAGCGCUGGCGGAAUGAUAAGUCUGAUGUGAAAGCCCACGGCUCAACCGUGGAACUGCAUCGGAAACUGUCAUUCUUGAGUGCAGAAGAGGAGAGUGGAAUUCCAUGUGUAGCGGUGGAAUGCGUAGAUAUAUGGAAGAACACCAGUGGCGAAGGCGGCUCUCUGGUCUGCAACUGACGCUGAGGCUCGAAAGCAUGGGUAGCGAACAGG